UACGUAGGGGGCAAGCGUUGUCCGGAUUUAUUGGGCGUAAAGAGCGUGUAGGCGGCCUGAAAGGUCAGCUGUGAAAACUCGAGGCUCAACCUCGAGACGUCGGUUGAAACCAUCUGGCUAGAGUCCGGAAGAGGAGUGUGGAAUUCCCGGUGUAGCGGUGAAAUGCGCAGAUAUCGGGAAGAACACCCGUGGCGAAGGCGGCACUCUGGGACGGUACUGACGCGUGAGACGCGAAAAGCGUGGGGAGCGAACGAGG
rnacentral:rRNA from 1 species